AUAACUUUCUUAAUCUUUUGAUUUAGAUAAAAUAUAAUAUUUAUUCGUAUCAGUUUAAUAUCUGAUAUAUGGAUCAUGUGUUCAUAUUAAUAUUAAAUUUAAUUUUUAUGGUACCAAAUAUGAUUGCAUGUCACCGCACGGACAAUGUAC
rnacentral:snRNA from 1 species